AACGAACGCUGGCGGCAGGCUUAACACAUGCAAGUCGAACGCCCCGCAAGGGGAGUGGCAGACGGGUGAGUAACGCGUGGGAAUCUACCCAGUUCUACGGAACAACACAGGGAAACUUGUGCUAAUACCGUAUACGCCCCAAGGGGGAAAGAUUUAUCGGAAUUGGAUGAGCCCGCGUUGGAUUAGCUAGUUGGUGAGGUAACGGCUCACCAAGGCGACGAUCCAUAGCUGGUCUGAGAGGAUGAUCAGCCACACUGGGACUGAGACACGGUCCAAACUCGAAAGAGGCAGCAGUGAGGAAUUUUGGACAAUGAGCGAAAGCUUGAUCCAGCAAUACUACGUGAGUGAAUUGAAGCAUUUUGGCGUGUAAAACUCUUUAAUUAAGGAAGAUAAUGACGGUACUUAAUC
rnacentral:rRNA from 1 species